UACGAGGGGGGCGAGCGUUGUUCGGAAUUAUUGGGCGUAAAGGGUGCGUAGGCGGUUUGGUAAGUCUGAUGUGAAAUCUAUGGGCUCAACCUUGGAAUUGCUCUUAAAACUACAUAACUCGAAUUCGGGAGAGGAUAGCGGAAUUGUCAGUGUAGCAGUGAAAUGCGUAGAUAUUGACAGGAACACCAGUGGCGUAAGCGGCUAUCUGGACCGACAUUGACGCUGAGGCACGAAAGCGUGGGGAUCAAACAGG
rnacentral:rRNA from 1 species